CCUACGGGAGGCUGCAGUGGGGAAUAUUGGACAAUGGGCGAAAGCCUGAUCCAGCCAUGCCGCGUGUGUGAAGAAGGCCUUCGGGUUGUAAAGCACUUUCAGUGGGGAAGAAAGCCUUGGGGCUAAUACCCUCGAGGAAGGACAUCACCCACAGAAGAAGCACCGGCUAACUCCGUGCCAGCAGCCGCGGUAAUACGGAGGGUGCGAGCGUUAAUCGGAAUUACUGGGCGUAAAGCGCGCGUAGGCGGUCUGAUAAGCCGGUUGUGAAAGCCCCGGGCUCAACCUGGGAACGGCAUCCGGAACUGUCAGGCUAGAGUGCAGGAGAGGAAGGUAGAAUUCCCGGUGUAGCGGUGAAAUGCGUAGAGAUCGGGAGGAAUACCAGUGGCGAAGGCGGCCUUCUGGACUGACACUGACGCUGAGGUGCGAAAGCGUGGGUAGCAAACAGGAUUAGAUACCCCAGAGUC
rnacentral:rRNA from 1 species